ACACCUCAACUCUUGCGGUUUUGCUGUGAUGAGCUUGGACUUUGGGGGUCUUGCUGGCCUGUGGUCAGCUCCUCUCAAAUGAAUCAGCUUGCCAGUGUUUGGUGGCGUCACGGGUGUGAUAACUAUCUACGCUUGCGGCUUCCACCAGGUAACCUUCAGUGAUGGAGGUUCGCUGGAGCUCAUAAACGUCUCUCCUCAGUGAGGACAGCUUCUUGAAU
rnacentral:misc_RNA from 1 species